rnacentral:rRNA from 1 species
CCUACGGGAGGCUGCAGUGGGGAAUAUUGGGCAAUGGGCGCAAGCCUGACCCAGCAACGCCGCGUGAAGGAAGAAGGCUUUCGGGUUGUAAACUUCUUUUCUGAGGGACGAAGAAAGUGCCGGUACCUCAGGAAUAAGCAACGGCUAACUACGUGCCAGCAGCCGCGGUAAUACGUAGGUGGCAAGCGUUAUCCGGAUGUAUGGGGUGUAAAGGGCGUGUAGGCGGGAAAGCAAGGCAGAUGUGAAAACUCAGGGCUCAACCCUGAGCCUGCAUUUGAAACUGUUUUUCUUGAGUGCUGUAGAGGCAAUCGGAAUUCCGGGUGUAGCGGUGAAAUGCGUAGAUAUACGGAGGAACACCAGUGGCGAAGGCGGAUUGCUGGACUGUAACUGACGCUGAGGCGCGAAAGCGUGGGGAGCAAACAGGAUUAGAUACCCCUGUAGUC